rnacentral:misc_RNA from 1 species
GAUGAAGAACGUAGCGAAAUGCGAUAAGUAAUGUGAAUUGCAGAAUUCAGUGAAUCAUCGAAUCUUUGAACUCACAUUGCGCCCUCCGGCAUUCCGGGGGGCAUGCCUGUCCGAGCGUCACGAAAACCCCAUCACACUCGUUGUGGUCAUGGCUGCAGUGAGUCGUCUCCAGCGGAGAGGGUCACGCCGCUGAAAGGAAUGGUGCGGAUGAGUUCCGAUGGCCGAACGUAGUACUUGACAACCGUCGGCCGAUGGGACCCUCCAUCUCGCCCUGACGACGUACCCCCGUCGUACCCCCGAUCAGGUGGACCUCGGAUCAGGUAGGGAUACCCGCUGAACUUAAGCAUAUCAAUAAGCGGAGGA